AUUGAACGCUGGCGGCAUGCCUUACACAUGCAAGUCGAACGGCAGCGGACCUUCGGGUGCCGGCGAGUGGCGAACGGGUGAGUAAUAUAUCGGAACGUACCUUUCAGUGGGGGAUAACGUAGCGAAAGUUACGCUAAUACCGCAUAUUCUGUGAGCAGGAAAGCAGGGGAUCGCAAGACCUUGCGCUGAUUGAGCGGCCGAUAUCAGAUUAGCUAGUUGGUGAGGUAAAGGCUCACCAAGGCGACGAUCUGCAGCGGGUCUGAGAGGAUGAUCCGCCACACUGGAACUGAGACACGGUCCAGACUCCUACGGGAGGCAGCAGUGGGGAAUUUUGGACAAUGGGCGCAAGCCUGAUCCAGCCAUGCCGCGUGAGUGAAGAAGGCCU
rnacentral:rRNA from 1 species